GGGUUGUGAGGUUAAGCGACUAAGCGUACACGGUGGAUGCCCUGGCAGUCAGAGGCGAUGAAGGACGUGCUAAUCUGCGAUAAGCGUCGGUAAGGUGAUAUGAACCGUUAUAACCGGCGAUUUCCGAAUGGGGAAACCCAGUGUGUUUCGACACACUAUCAUUAACUGAAUCCAUAGGUUAAUGAGGCGAACCGGGGGAACUGAAACAUCUAAGUACCCCGAGGAAAAGAAAUCAACCGAGAUUCCCCCAGUAGCGGCGAGCGAACGGGGAGCAGCCCAGAGCCUGAAUCAGUGUGUGUGUUAGUGGAAGCGUCUGGAAAGGCGCGCGAUACAGGGUGACAGCCCCGUACACAAAAAUGCACAUGCUGUGAGCUCGAUGAGUAGGGCGGGACACGUGGUAUCCUGUCUGAAUAUGGGGGGACCAUCCUCCAAGGCUAAAUACUCCUGACUGACCGAUAGUGAACCAGUACCGUGAGGGAAAGGCGAAAAGAACCCCGGCGAGGGGAGUGAAAAAGAACCUGAAACCGUGUACGUACAAGCAGUGGGAGCACGCUUAGGCGUGUGACUGCGUACCUUUUGUAUAAUGGGUCAGCGACUUAUAUUCUGUAGCAAGGUUAACCGAAUAGGGGAGCCGAAGGGAAACCGAGUCUUAACUGGGCGUUAAGUUGCAGGGUAUAGACCCGAAACCCGGUGAUCUAGCCAUGGGCAGGUUGAAGGUUGGGUAACACUAACUGGAGGACCGAACCGACUAAUGUUGAAAAAUUAGCGGAUGACUUGUGGCUGGGGGUGAAAGGCCAAUCAAACCGGGAGAUAGCUGGUUCUCCCCGAAAGCUAUUUAGGUAGCGCCUCGUGAAUUCAUCUCCGGGGGUAGAGCACUGUUUCGGCAAGGGGGUCAUCCCGACUUACCAACCCGAUGCAAACUGCGAAUACCGGAGAAUGUUAUCACGGGAGACACACGGCGGGUGCUAACGUCCGUCGUGAAGAGGGAAACAACCCAGACCGCCAGCUAAGGUCCCAAAGUCAUGGUUAAGUGGGAAACGAUGUGGGAAGGCCCAGACAGCCAGGAUGUUGGCUUAGAAGCAGCCAUCAUUUAAAGAAAGCGUAAUAGCUCACUGGUCGAGUCGGCCUGCGCGGAAGAUGUAACGGGGCUAAACCAUGCACCGAAGCUGCGGCAGCGACGCUUAUGCGUUGUUGGGUAGGGGAGCGUUCUGUAAGCCUGCGAAGGUGUGCUGUGAGGCAUGCUGGAGGUAUCAGAAGUGCGAAUGCUGACAUAAGUAACGAUAAAGCGGGUGAAAAGCCCGCUCGCCGGAAGACCAAGGGUUCCUGUCCAACGUUAAUCGGGGCAGGGUGAGUCGACCCCUAAGGCGAGGCCGAAAGGCGUAGUCGAUGGGAAACAGGUUAAUAUUCCUGUACUUGGUGUUACUGCGAAGGGGGGACGGAGAAGGCUAUGUUGGCCGGGCGACGGUUGUCCCGGUUUAAGCGUGUAGGCUGGUUUUCCAGGCAAAUCCGGAAAAUCAAGGCUGAGGCGUGAUGACGAGGCACUACGGUGCUGAAGCAACAAAUGCCCUGCUUCCAGGAAAAGCCUCUAAGCAUCAGGUAACAUCAAAUCGUACCCCAAACCGACACAGGUGGUCAGGUAGAGAAUACCAAGGCGCUUGAGAGAACUCGGGUGAAGGAACUAGGCAAAAUGGUGCCGUAACUUCGGGAGAAGGCACGCUGAUAUGUAGGUGAAGUCCCUUGCGGAUGGAGCUGAAAUCAGUCGAAGAUACCAGCUGGCUGCAACUGUUUAUUAAAAACACAGCACUGUGCAAACACGAAAGUGGACGUAUACGGUGUGACGCCUGCCCGGUGCCGGAAGGUUAAUUGAUGGGGUUAGCGGUAACGCGAAGCUCUUGAUCGAAGCCCCGGUAAACGGCGGCCGUAACUAUAACGGUCCUAAGGUAGCGAAAUUCCUUGUCGGGUAAGUUCCGACCUGCACGAAUGGCGUAAUGAUGGCCAGGCUGUCUCCACCCGAGACUCAGUGAAAUUGAACUCGCUGUGAAGAUGCAGUGUACCCGCGGCAAGACGGAAAGACCCCGUGAACCUUUACUAUAGCUUGACACUGAACAUUGAGCCUUGAUGUGUAGGAUAGGUGGGAGGCUUUGAAGUGUGGACGCCAGUCUGCAUGGAGCCGACCUUGAAAUACCACCCUUUAAUGUUUGAUGUUCUAACGUUGACCCGUAAUCCGGGUUGCGGACAGUGUCUGGUGGGUAGUUUGACUGGGGCGGUCUCCUCCUAAAGAGUAACGGAGGAGCACGAAGGUUGGCUAAUCCUGGUCGGACAUCAGGAGGUUAGUGCAAUGGCAUAAGCCAGCUUGACUGCGAGCGUGACGGCGCGAGCAGGUGCGAAAGCAGGUCAUAGUGAUCCGGUGGUUCUGAAUGGAAGGGCCAUCGCUCAACGGAUAAAAGGUACUCCGGGGAUAACAGGCUGAUACCGCCCAAGAGUUCAUAUCGACGGCGGUGUUUGGCACCUCGAUGUCGGCUCAUCACAUCCUGGGGCUGAAGUAGGUCCCAAGGGUAUGGCUGUUCGCCAUUUAAAGUGGUACGCGAGCUGGGUUUAGAACGUCGUGAGACAGUUCGGUCCCUAUCUGCCGUGGGCGCUGGAGAACUGAGGGGGGCUGCUCCUAGUACGAGAGGACCGGAGUGGACGCAUCACUGGUGUUCGGGUUGUCAUGCCAAUGGCACUGCCCGGUAGCUAAAUGCGGAAGAGAUAAGUGCUGAAAGCAUCUAAGCACGAAACUUGCCCCGAGAUGAGUUCUCCCUGACCCUUUAAGGGUCCUGAAGGAACGUUGAAGACGACGACGUUGAUAGGCCGGGUGUGUAAGCGCAGCGAUGCGUUGAGCUAACCGGUACUAAUGAACCGUGAGGCUUAACCUUACAACGCCGAAGGUGUUU
rnacentral:rRNA from 1 species